GACGAACGCUGGCGGCGUGCUUAACACAUGCAAGUCGAACGGUGAAGCGCCUUCCUUUUUGGUGGGUGUGGAUGAGUGGCGAACGGGUGAGUAACACGUGAGUAACCUGCCCCCUUCUUCUGGAUAACCGCAUGAAAGUGUGGCUAAUACGGGAUAUUCUGGGUCUGUCGCAUGAUGGGUCUGGGAAAGAUAUUGUUUCGGUGGGGGAUGGGCUCGCGGCCUAUCAGCUUGUUGGUGGGGUGAUGGCCUACCAAGGCGGUGACGGGUAGCCGACCUGGGGGGGUGGACGGUCACACUGGGACUGAGACACGGCCCAGACUCCUACGGGAGGCAGCAGUGGGGAAUAUUGCACAGUGGGCGCAAGCCUGAUGCAGCGACGCCGCGUGAGGGAUGGAGGCCUUCGGGUUGUGAACCUCUUUCGCCAGUGAAGCAGGCCUGCCUCGUUUGUGGGUGGGUUGACGGUAGCUGGAUAAGAAGCGCCGGCUAACUACGUG
rnacentral:rRNA from 1 species